UUUUCUACACUCUUCAUCAUAGCAAUAUGGAACUCUACCAUUAAAAAUGUUCCGUCUCAAGUUUUUCUUUUUCCUCCUUUCUCAAAGCUUGAGUUUGGUUUGAUCAGAGUAGCAGCAUGUCCCGAACUGCUGCAUUAUUGGCUAGAGGUCGUACUCUCACUCUCACCCUUUUUGCGUUAGUGUUCUGACAGGUGAGGACAUUCAUAGGGGAAACAGUUGUUUGCAUGGUAUGGAGAUUUUGAAAGCUGAAGAGUGAAGAUAUGUCAUCUUUCCAACAUCUAUGCAAGUGAGUGUUGUCUUUAUCUGGAAAUCUUCCACCAGGCACUACCAAUGGCAUUGAUAAGUUCAUAUGUAGCAGUUGGACAAGAUUCCCAUUACAUGGGCUGAUUUUUGGUGAAGGCCUUUUUAUGUUGGCUCUGUUGGGAUGCAACUGUAGUGAUUCAAUUGAAGCAUGAGACUGAAUGAGCAAAGACAUGUCUCAAGUAUUAUAUGAACAUAGUACAUACCUCGACAAUUUUCCUUCCUUUUGCUAAACCAUAUCACAUGAGACUGUUUGCAUGAGAAGCACAUGUCUAGGUAUAAAAAGUACAUACAUCGGCAAUUUUCCUUCCUUGUGCUAAACUAUAUCAAAAUUGUUAAUUUGAAAGAAUGAACAUCUAGAUUGCACUUGA